rnacentral:rRNA from 1 species
CCUACGGGUGGCAGCAGUGAGGAAUAUUGGUCAAUGGACGAGAGUCUGAACCAGCCAAGUAGCGUGAAGGAUGACUGCCCUAUGGGUUGUAAACUUCUUUUAUAAAGGAAUAAAACGAGGCACGUGUGCCUUUUUGCAUGUACUUUAUGAAUAAGGAUCGGCUAACUCCGUGCCAGCAGCCGCCGUAAUACGGAGGAUCCGAGCGUUAUCCGGAUUUAUUGGGUUUAAAGGGAGCGUAGAUGGGUUGUUAAGUCAGUUGUGAAAGUUUGCGGCUCAACCGUAAAAUUGCAAUUGAUACUGGCAGUCGUGAGUACAGUUGAGGUAGGCGGAAUUCGUGGUGUAGCGGUGAAAUGCUUAGAUAUCACGAAGAACCCCGAUUGCGAAGGCAGCUUACUAAACUGUGACUGACAUUGAUGCUCGAAAGUGUGGGUAUCAAACAGGAUUAGAUACCCCUGUAGUC